UCUCUUGUAGCUCAUUUGGUUAGAGCUUCCAUUUCUAAAUUAAAAGUCUUGGGAUUGAAUCUCCAUGAAAGAA
rnacentral:tRNA from 1 species